rnacentral:rRNA from 1 species
UACAGAGACUGCAAGCGUUAUUCGGAUUCACUGGGCGUAAAGGGUGCGCAGGCGGCCGUGUGUGUCAGGUGUGAAAUCCCGGGGCUUAACCCCGGAACUGCGCCUGAAACUACAUGGCUAGAGUAUUGGAGAGGGUAACGGAAUUCACGGUGUAGCAGUGAAAUGCGUAGAUAUCGUGAGGAACACCAGAGGCGAAGGCGGUUACCUGGACAAUUACUGACGCUCAGGCACGAAAGCAUGGGGAGCAAAAGGG